rnacentral:rRNA from 1 species
AACGAACGCUGGCGGCAUGCCUAACACAUGCAAGUCGAACGAGACCUUCGGGUCUAGUGGCGCACGGGUGCGUAACGCGUGGGAACCUGCCCUUAGGUUCGGAAUAACUCCCCGAAAGGGGUGCUAAUACCGGAUAAUGUCUUCGGACCAAAGAUUUAUCGCCUUUGGAUGGGCCCGCGUUGGAUUAGCUAGUUGGUAGGGUAAAAGCCUACCAAGGCGACGAUCCAUAGCUGGUCUGAGAGGAUGAUCAGCCACACUGGGACUGAGACACGGCCCAGACUCCUCCGGGAGGCAGCAGUGGGGAAUAUUGGACAAUGGGCGAAAGCCUGAUCCAGCAAGGCCGCGUGAGUGAUGAAGGCCUUAGGGUUGUAAAGCUCUUUUACCCGGGAUGAUAAUGACAGUACCGGGAGAAUAAGCCCCGGCUAACUCCGUG